AGUGAACGCUGGCGGCAGGCCUAAUACAUGCAAGUCGAACGGCAGCACAGCAGAGCUUGCUCUGUGGGUGGCGAGUGGCGGACGGGUGAGGAAUACGUGGGAAUCUGCCCAGUCGUGGGGGAUAACGUAGGGAAACUUACGCUAAUACCGCAUGCGCCCUUCGGGGGAAAGCCGGGGACCUUCGGGCCUGGCGCGAUUGGAUGAGCCCACGUCGGAUUAGCUAGUUGGCGGGGUAAAGGCCCACCAAGGCGACGAUCCGUAGCUGGUCUGAGAGGAUGAUCAGCCACACUGGAACUGAGACACGGUCCAGACUCCUACGGGAGGCAGCAGUAGGGAAUAUUGGACAAUGGGCGCAAGCCUGAUCCAGCCAUGCCGCGUGAGUGAAGAAGGCCCUCGGGUUGUAAAGCUCUUUUGUCCGGAAAGAAAAGCGCCGGGUUAAUACCCUGGUGUCCUGACGGUACCGGAAGAAUAAGCACCGGCUAACCUUCGUG
rnacentral:rRNA from 1 species